UGGGGAAUAUUGCGCAAUGGGGGAAACCCUGACGCAGCGACGCCGCGUGCGUGAUGAAGGCCUUCGGGUUGUAAACCGCUUUUGAUUGGGAGCAAGCUUUCGGGUGAGUUUACCUUUCGAAUAAGCGCCGGCUAACUACGUGCCAGCAGCCGCGGUAAUACGUAGGGCGCAAGCGUUAUCCGGAAUUAUUGGGCGUAAAGAGCUUGUAGGCGGUUCGUCGCGUCUGGUGUGAAAGCCCAUCGCUUAACGGUGGGUUUGCGCCGGGUACGGGCGGGCUAGAGUGCAGUAGGGGGGACUGGAAUUCCCGGUGUAACGGUGGAAUGUGUAGAUAUCGGGAAGAACACCAAUGGCGAAGGCAGGUCUCUGGGCUGUUACUGACGCUGAGAAGCGAAAGCGUGGGGAGCGAACAGG
rnacentral:rRNA from 1 species